UACAGAGGGGCAAGCGUUAUUCGGAAUUAUUGGGCGUAAAGGGCGCGUAGGCGGCUUUGCAAGUGGCGGGUGAAAUCCCUCGGCUUAACCGAGGAACUGCCUGCCAGACUGUGAGGCUUGAGACCGGGAGAGGUGAGUGGAAUUCCCAGUGUAGCGGUGAAAUGCGUAGAUAUUGGGAGGAACACCAGUGGCGAAGGCGGCUCACUGGACCGGAACUGACGCUGAGGCGCGAAAAGCGUGGGGAGCAAACAGG
rnacentral:rRNA from 1 species